AUUGAACGCUGGCGGCAUGCCUAACACAUGCAAGUCGAACGGGGCAGCAAUGCCUAGUGUCGGACGGGUGAGGAAGACGUAGGAAUCUGCCCUUUAGUGGGGGAUAACCAGGGGAAACCCUGACUAAUACCGCAAGAUCUCUUCGGAGCAAAGAGGGGGACCGCAAGGCCUCUCGCUUCUUGCUUUGCCAACGUCUGAUUAGCUAGUUGGUAGGGUAAAGGCCUACCAAGGCGACGAUCAGUAACUGGUCUGAGAGGAUGAUCAGUCACACCGGAACUGAGACACGGUCCGGACUCCUACGGGAGGCAGCAGUGGGGAAUAUUGGACAAUGGGCGCAAGCCUGAUCCAGCAAUGCCGCGUGUGUGAAGAAGGCCUUCGGGUUGUAAAGCACUUUAGCCUGGAAAGAAAAAACUUUGGUUAACACCCAAAGUAUUGACGGUACCAGGAGAAUAAGCACCGGCUAACUCUGUGCCAGCCGCCGCUGUAAAAC
rnacentral:rRNA from 1 species